rnacentral:rRNA from 1 species
UACGGAGGGUGCAAGCGUUAAUCGGAAUUACUGGGCGUAAAGCGCACGCAGACGGUUUGUUAAGUCAGAUGUGAAAUCCCCGGGCUCAACCUGGGAACUGCAUCCUGAACUGGCAAGCUUGAGUCUCGCAGAGGGGGGUAGAAUUCCAGGUGUAGCAGUGAAAUGCGUAGAGAUGUGGAGGAAUACCGGUGGCGAAGGCUGCCCCCUGGAAGAAGACUGACGCUCAGGUGCGAAAGCGUGGGGAGCAAACAGG